AUUCAUCUCCUUUGCAGCAAGGAAUCCAAUCCUUAGAAAAUUCUGCUUGCUGCAGUUUUAUUGGGCCACAUACUUCAAUGGUUACGUAGACCUGAAUGCCACUCCAAAUGGUGGUCCGUCACCUCCUCUCUUGUAACCCUCACCACCCAAUUCUCCCGAACCCCACCAUCAUCACCAUCAUCAUCACCAUCCAUGCCGUCCCAUGUGGGCCCCACGUCCAAAGAACUACCCGACGGCUAUCCUAUUAGUCUCUAGACCCGAGCCAUGCAAUUCGCCGCUGGUGUGGAGAAUUCCAGCAAUUCGGUUCUGGGUAUUAUGGGGUAUUGCUGAGGAAAGAGGGGAAGGAAGUAGAGUGGAAUGAUAAUGUGGAUGGUGCUGCAGGUCUGAUCGGGGAAGGCAGUCGGAGGUCGCCAACAGCAGGCGUAUGAGAUGGCAGGUAGCAAUGGCCUAGAAAAGAUGAAUUCAUGAUCUUUCUUGUACCAGAAGGGCAGGGGCUGGCACUACUGCAGAUAUGAUCAGGCAAAACUGAUAGAGAAAAUCGCUACAUUAGGAAGGAAGAUUUGUAAAUAUUUUCUCUUCAACAUCAUUUUAGUAUGGCUAAACAAUUGUCUUGGAAUUCUUAUGGAUGAAAUGAGAAUGAAAAGUGAGGAAUUAUAACAGCAUUGAAAUUGAAAGGAACAACACGCGAGGCAUGGCCCAUGCAGGGAGUGGAUUAGGUGCAGCCCGGGUCUCACCCAACACAGUGUGGCCCUGAUAGUGGGGCCCACCUUGAUGUAUGUAUGUAUAUCCAAGCCGUCUAUCCGUUUUGCGAGAUCAUUUUUGGCCAGCCCAAAAAUGAAUUAGAUCUAAAUCUCAGGUGGACCAUACUAUAGAAAGAAGUGGUGAUUGAAUGGUCGCUAUUAAAAGCUUCCUAAGGCCCACCCUAAUGUUUACUUGCGAUUCCAUAUAUUGAUAAGGUCACACAAGAUCUGGAUGAAGGUAAAAAUAUCAAAUACUAGCUUGAUCCAAAACUUGUGGCGUACAAACACAUUUUAAUGGUCAAUUACCACAUUUUCCUGUGGUGUGAACGACCUGAGAUUUGGAUCUGCUUCGUUUUUAGGCUUAUGAUCUAAAAUGAUAUGGUAAAACGGAUGGACGGCAUGGAUGUACAAUAAAUAUAUGAAGGUGGGCCCCACGGUCAGGGCCGCACCUAAUAAUGCUCCUGUGCUAGUGCAUCGGGGACAUAAGAACAUUGGACGGUGAACGACCAUCGAUCAUCUUUUCAUAUUUAAAGCUCCAACCGUUUUCUUCCUACUCAAAAUAUAACUAUAAUUGCAAGACCUGGGGUCUCCAUAUGCAUGUGGAUGAUAUGGUGGGCCCCAUCUCUCUAUGGUCGCAGUGGGGUUUGUCGUUUAUUACCGUACAUCCAGUUGUGCGUAUUGUGGAUGGAAGAUGGUUCCAGAUACAAAUGGAUUGGUUGAUCAUAUCCAUUCGAUUUGUGGCCUUCAAAGCAACGGUAGAUAGCUGUAGUUGUUAUGUUUCAAGUAUGCGAUAGGGAGAAUGUAAAUAAAAUAAAAUGAUGGAUAUGAUUUUUCUGAUAGUUGUAAUUUUUUUUAGAACUUAAGUUAUCCUUGAUGUGGCCCACUAGAUGGACGGACCUGAUUGAUAUAUCACCCUGCACGAUGUACUGUGGAGAGAUAGUAAUAAUCCGAAAAUCAGGCCGUAGAAGCAAUCCGAACCGUUGGAUCUUGAGGAAAGGAAAUAAAAAAAAAGGCUAGAAUCCCACUCCUUGGCGUUACUAAGAACUUUCUUGGUUUUGGUUUUGCAGAAUGAAAUUCUGCCAAAGUACUCUGGCAGCUCUAAAUGAGGACCGUAGAUAGCUGGGACAGAGCUGUGGUGAUGAUGACCCUGUGGCUGUAAAUGCAAGCCAGCGACAGAUCGUAGCGUCAUGGCCACAAGAUUUUCCAGGAUGGAAAUUGUGGAAAAUGGAAGGUUGGAUGACGUGCAUGCAAUGAUGCAGCUGUGACAAAAACAAGUACGUACGGUUAUAAAUACUCAUGGUUUCAGUAUUUAAAACAUGUGGGGCCCACCAAAUCCCAGUUUACCCCAACGGAUAAUAAAUAGUACUACUACUUGCCUGUCUGGGUAAAACAUUUCCCUCAUUCGUGAAUUACCAGUCUACUACGGGUUCUGUACGAUGAUUGGAGUGAUCAAGGAGGUGAUCUGAACCGUACAUUCAUUUA